rnacentral:rRNA from 1 species
AUACGUCGGGUGCGAGCGUUGUCCGGAAUUACUGGGCGUAAAGAGCUCGUAGGUGGUUUGUCGCGUCGUCUGUGAAAUUCCGGGGCUUAACUCCGGGCGUGCAGGCGAUACGGGCAUAACUUGAGUACUGUAGGGGAGACUGGACUUCCUGGUGUAGCGGCGAAAUGCGCAGAUAUCAGGAGGAACACCGGUGGCGAAGGCGGGUCUCUGGGCAGUAACUGACGCUGAGGAGCGAAAGCAUGGGUAGCGAACAGGAUUAGAUACCCUGGUAGUCCAUGCCGUAAACGGUGGGCGCUAGGUGUAGGGGUCUUCCACGACUUCUGUGCCGUAGCUAACGCAUUAAGCGCCCCGCCUGGGGAGUACGGCCGCAAGGCUAAAACUCAAAUGAAUUGACGGGG